rnacentral:rRNA from 1 species
UACGAAGGGUGCAAACGUUGCUCGGAAUUAUUGGGCGUAAAGCGCACGUAGGCGGCUUGGCAAGUCGGAUGUGAAAUCCCUCGGCUCAACCAAGGAAGUGCAUCCGAAACUGCCGAGCUUGAGUACUUAAGAGGAUCGCGGAAUUCCCGGUGUAGAGGUGAAAUGCGUAGAGAUCGGGAAGAACAUCAGUGGCGAAGGCGGUCUGCUGGGCCGUUGCUGACGCUGAGGCGCGACAGCGUGGGGGAGCAAACAGG